rnacentral:lncRNA from 1 species
AAAGCUGACAAGCUCCGAGACUGCUGCCCGGGUCCCCCUCACACUCGGCCCUCCGGCAGUGUUUUCCCUCGCAUCACUCCGUGCUCCUCCCGCCGGACGAGCGCUGCCCGACGGGCUCAGCGGGCCCGUGAACAGCUGCAGAAGCGUCUGCAGGCUGCGGGUCAGCGGCUGAGGCCCCGGCUAGGGGCGGGUGCGCAGGGGGCACAGCGCCGCUGCCCAGCCCCUUGUCCCGGCCUCGGCUCCUGUCUGGAUGCGCCGUCGGGCAGGCGGGAGGCGCCGCUGCUGCGCCCCCUUCCCCUCAGGGCGGGCUGCGCCCCCUUCCCCUCAGGGCGGGCUGCGCCCCCUUCCCCUCAGGGCGGGCUGCGCCCCUUUCCCCUCAGGGCGGGCUGCGCCCCCUUCCCCUCAGCGAGGGCUGCGCCCCUUUCCCCUCAGGGCGGGCUGCGCCCCCUUCCCCUCAGCGAGGGCUGCGCCCCUUUCCCCUCAGGGCGGGCUGCGCCCCCUUCCCCUCAGGGCGGGCUGCGCCCCCUUCCCCUCAGGGCGGGCUGCGCCCCUUGCCCUCAGCGAGGGCUGCGCCCCUUUCCCCUCAGGGCGGGCUGUGCCUCUUGCCCUCAGCGAGGGCUGCGCCCCUUUCCCCUCAGGGCGGGCUGCGCCCCUUGCCCUCAGCGAGGGCUGCGCCCCUUUCCCCUCAGGGCGGGCUGCGCCCCUUUCCCCUCAGGGCGGGCUGCGCCCCUUGCCCUCAGCGAGGGCUGUGCCUCUUGCCCUCAGCGCGGGCUGCGCCCAGCGGCGGCGGGCCCGGCUCGGCCCCAGGCUCCCUCUCCGGAGGCGCGGAGAGCAGCGUUGGUGAUGCCGCUCAGCGAUGCCCGGUUCACCCCUCAACAGGGCUGCCCUAGGGCUCCGGCCGAGGACAGGGCGGUUUCGCCUCCUCUUCUCGUUUCAGGUGCCUACGGAUGCUCGGGUGCGGCUUUCCGUGAGGCGAUGGGCGCUGCAGGAACACCGCAGAUCAUGAGAAGAGGCAAAAAUAAUUUUACUGGUGCUGUGGAAGUGUGCUGGGAGAAGCUGGCUGGAUGUGUGUUCUCCCUGCAUAGCAUUUCCUUUUGCUACUUGAAGAGCUCUGCUAUGUGGAUCUUUUGCCUGACUUAUCAGUAUUUACAUAUAAAACCUUUAAUUUUUCUCACCAAAAUAUUUUUUUACUUGUGCUUGCUGGCAAUCUCAUGGGAGCUUAAAACGAAUAUGAAAUACAAGGUAAUUUCUAAAUUACUUUCAAUUUUUUGGGGGUGUGUAUUAAUUUUUGCUUUUUAUAGGCAUUUGGAACAUCAAUAUGCAUUUCUUGCCAGUGUAUACUAA